UGGCUCAGUGGUGAAGAGCACUGGCUGUUAUUCCAGAGGACCUGGGUUCAGUUCCCAG
rnacentral:tRNA from 1 species